UACGUAGGGUGCAAGCGUUGUCCGGAAUUAUUGGGCGUAAAGAGCUCGUAGGCGGUUUGUCGCGUCGAAUGUGAAAACCCGGGGCUCAACCCCGGGCCUGCAUUCGAUACGGGGCAGACUAGAGUUCGGUAGGGGAGUCUGGAAUUCCUGGUGUAGCGGUGAAAUGCGCAGAUAUCAGGAGGAACACCGGUGGCGAAGGCGGGACUCUGGGCCGAUACUGACGCUGAGGAGCGAAAGCGUGGGGAGCAAACAGG
rnacentral:rRNA from 1 species